AUUGAACGCUGGCGGCAUGCCUUACACAUGCAAGUCGAACGGCAGCAUAGGAGCUUGCUCCUGAUGGCGAGUGGCGAACGGGUGAGUAAUAUAUCGGAACGUGCCCUAGAGUGGGGGAUAACUAGUCGAAAGAUUAGCUAAUACCGCAUACGAUCUAAGGAUGAAAGUGGGGGAUCGCAAGACCUCAUGCUCGUGGAGCGGCCGAUAUCUGAUUAGCUAGUUGGUGGGGUAAAAGCUCACCAAGGCGACGAUCAGUAGCUGGUCUGAGAGGACGACCAGCCACACUGGGACUGGGAAACGGCCCAGACUCCUACGGGAGGCAGCAGUGGGGAAUUUUGGACAAUGGGGGCAACCCUGAUCCAGUAAUGCCGCGUGAGUGAAGAAGGCCUUCGGGUUGUAAAGCUCUUUUGUCAGGGAAGAAGCGGUGAGAGCUAAUAUCUCUUGCUAAUGACGGUACCUGAAGAAUAAGCACCGGCUAACUACGUGCCAGCAGCAGCCGCCG
rnacentral:rRNA from 1 species